UGUUGAAGAUCUCUGGAUUCGUCCUCUCUGAUGACACGUCGGUCCGGAUUCUCUGCCUGGAAACUCCAUCGGGCUGGUCGAAGUCAGAAGGCGGAACCGGGCCUGCUGAGGGGUCCAUUAGGACAUGUGGAAGUUUGGCAACAAGUGUCUUGUUAUGGCUCGCAGCAGCAGUCACUGACUGCAAGGACCAUAUUGUUUCCGCAGUUGGAAAGAUUUUGGUGCCUUUUAGCGAAAAUCUGCCCCCCUCCGCAUACUUGAAAAGUCACCAAAAUGUGAAGAAACCUAGGAUAAAUUGAAAAUGAAUUCUCGGACAAAGUCAAUAUCACCCCCCCGAAGACGAUGACAUCACGGUGUGAACUUUACUACAAGCUAAUAAUGGGAGGAGGUCAGAGCCACGCAGAGAACGCUAUGCAAAGACGUGAAAAUGCCAAAAAAGACCCAGAGACUAACAAACCUGGAAGCUCACCAUCUAAAGACACUAUAGGAGAGCUGCCCCAGUGCCGGAUGGGAAAUAAAAAAGUGGACAACAUGUCUUUCAUGAUCUCAUGCACCAACUGGUACUGAGCCUGUCCAGAAGAGACAGAACAGGACGAAAAAACCCAGAAGGAUGUCCAAUGUUUCUUCAAUCGUAUCAAGAGUUAAUUCUUUUAAAGUAAAAUAUGCAACAAUGGAAGCAGAUGAUGGUGUUGUUCACCUUUUGGCAUUUCUCUUCAGGGGUCACCACAGCGAAUCAGCACUCUGAACAUUUGGUUUUGGUAGACGUUCUUAUGCCAGAUGUCCGUCCUCCUGGCACAACCCUGUAUUUUAUCCAGGCUGUGGACACAGGUACACCCAGAGUUAUUGCCCCUACCCGGGGUUAGGGCCCCUUAUGGCUACAUAGAGGCAGUAGUGUGAAGGGUCUUGCCCAAGGACCCACACUGGAUGAAGGUCAUCGCACCUCCUUUUAGACUUGUUGUAUGCUUUUUUUUCUUUAUGCUGUAUGUAAAACUACUGUACACUAGUAAAAAAAAUGUUUCCAUCCAUUUUUCUAUGAAACCUUGGACAGAUCCAUGUCCAGUCAGCAGAAACACAGUUGAGAUGCUGAAGCUUGUUCGGUUACUCAUUAAAGUGAGUCAGCUGUUGAGUUAUAUAAAAGGUAA